AAAAAUUUCCUGUACAGUAUGUAGAUAUGUGUAAUUGACUCCCUGUCCCUCUCAAGCCAGCAUGAGUCAGUCCCUUUCCCUCUUCUUCUGUCUUAAUUAAACAUCACAUCUGUUGUGGGGGUGGUUCAUACUCACUAGAUGGGCAAUAGUACCUGUCUGCCUGUAACUGAUAGUACUUUUGCUUGUCUUUGCCUUUCUUCAAGUGUUCAGAGGAGAACUACCUUUUACCCAAUUCGUCUCUUUUGAAUCAGAUGUCAGAUUAACUCAGUUACAGCUGAAGAGGUCAGAGCUCUGAUCACCUUUUUCUUUGUGUCCCUAUGGCAAUCCUGACUGCUGAGAACUACUGCAGCGCUGGUGCUACUGGACAAGAGCACAGAUAGUUUCUCCUGACGUGGUUAAGAGUAUCUCACUAUUUCACUGCUUUGAACAGUCAUCCUAAAGACUAAGUAAAGACUCUGGUUAGACAUCUUGAUGUGGAAGCAUGCCUACUUUUAAAUAAAAGUAGCUUUAUUUGUUCUCCAUAGCUUUCACUCCCCCACUUUGAGUUCCCAGGAUAUCCUCCAUCCACUGGCUGUGAGGCCAGUUCAAGAUCCUUGUAUGAGAUCUUGCCAAUACACUAGUGCUCUAGCUGUCAGUUGGCUCUGGCUCAGCGUAUUAGACUAUACCUGUUCCUAAAGGAAUAGUUAGUAUCAGCCCAGGCAGGUCCUUACAGAAGUUAUCACUGCUCUCCCCUUUGGCCUUUCUGUCACCUUGUUAGUGAACAGCUGAUACCCCAGUCUCAUGAGGUUCACAGCUGAAGUGAAAGUACCUGCAACGAGCUGGAACUGUCUGUCAGGGCCCUGAUGGCACUGACAGGGCUUACCAGCCCUGCCCAGCCUCCGCCGGGGCCUCCCCCAUCCUGCCACAUCAGCCCCCCUGGGCUGUCAGCCCCUGCCCCAGCGAUGCCGCAGCAGGGCCAGUUUCCAGCUCACUUCAGUCCUGCUGGGCUCCAGGCUGAUGUCCCAGCCUGGCCUCGGCCCAUCCUGGUCCCCACCACGUUCCUGAUCCCCAGGGCUGGGGCUGCCCCCAGCUGCCCACCCCCCCAUUCCGGCUGCCCUGCUCCUGGCUGGGGUGAUGGGACCCCGGCCCAGCCCUGCUGCCCCCACAGGUAGGCCCCAUAGCUCCCAGCUGCCAGGAAGCCAUCAGCCCACACUGGGCCCUGACACUGUAGCAAGAGGAGCGCAGCUCUUCCUCUUUGCUGUACUGAGGCCGUAAGAAAAGCUGGAGGACCUCAAUUCUAUCUAUUGCUGCUAUCUCUGGCAGAGAUACGUUACAAAGCUUGUGAGGCUGAAACCUGAGCUAUUCCCUGUCAUGGAGGAUAUUAUAAUGAGUUUAAAAGAGACGCACAAGAGGAUCCAUAAUUUCACACUUUUAAAUUUUUUUUUCUUAAGUUAAGGAUAGGUAGGUUGUGUCCUGGUUUCAGCUGGCAUAGAGUUAAUUUUCUUUCUAGUAGCUGGUAUAGGGUUAUGUUUUGGAUUUAGGGUGAGAAUAAUGUUGAUAACACACUGAUGUUUUCAGUUGCUGCUAAGUAGCGUUUACUGUAAAGUCAAGGAUUUUUCAGCUUCUCAUGCCCUGCCAGCAAGAAGGCUGGAGGGGCAUAAGAAGUUGGGAGGGGACACAGCCAGGACAGCUGACCCAAACUGGCCAAAAGGAUAGUCCAUAAAAUGUGACGUCAUGUCCAGUUUAUAAACUGGGGGGAGCUGGCCUGGGAGUGGUUUGCUGCUCAGGAACUAACUGGGCAUUGGUCGGUGAAUGGUGAGCAGUUGCAUUGUUCAACACUUGUUUUGUAUAUUCCAAUUCUUUUAUUAUUGUCAUUU